GUUACGUGUGGACGUGGCCUUAGAAUAAUAAUCUGAGCCCGUCGGCGGCAAAAACUGAGCUUUCAGUGGACGGAAAUUGAAGGUGCGCAAUUGCCCAUUAACAUUACAUCGCAGCUUGUUUUGUCUUGCGUAAUACUGCACCGAUUUCAAAGAUUUGUUAUUUCCAGCAGUUACUUGGACACAAAAACGUGAAGAAAGGGUCCAGGUAAAAAAUAAAAACUGAAAUGACCCUUUUAAGAGGAUUUUAAAAUAUGAUCGUAUUUAGCAGAAUUAAUAGGUAUGUAGAACAGGGCUGUAGCAGUUAUUUUUAAGUAUUUGGACUGUGUUUUAGUUGUUAAUAUCCUGAUUAGUUUAAUUUAUUUUUUUGGACCACUGCAUCCUGAAGCCAUAGGUGUUUUUACAUUAGGUGCCAUAGACAGUGUAAACUGAACCGUCUGCACUAUAAGAGGUUUGCAUCCGGUGUCUUUCACGACGCCGAGCAAGUCUUCGUUGUCUGAAUCGUUCCUUAGAACGCAGUACAGGUCAAAAAGGGAGCUGGAACGGCGAGAUGAGCCCUCAUCUUCAGAGAAAGACAGCCGAGAUGCAAAGCCGUAGCUUUUCUGGAUUUUGGUCUUCAUACUUGAUGGCAGUUUUUUUUUUUUUUUGUUUCCUGGCUCUCAUUUUUGACGUGCCUGCCCCUUAAAGCUGCUAUUGACUUUAAUCUUAACACACACACUAUGUAUGAUUUGUGUGUGCGUGUGUAUGAAUAGUAAUGAUGUAUGGGCUGUAUCAGUGAAAAUAAGUUCCUAUUUAUAUGGGAUGGGGGGAAAAAAUUGCCACCACUC